rnacentral:rRNA from 1 species
GACGAACGCUGGCGGCGUGCCUAAUACAUGCAAGUCGAACGCUGAAGGAGGAGCUUGCUUCUCUGGAUGAGUUGCGAACGGGUGAGUAACGCGUAGGUAACCUGCCUGGUAGCGGGGGAUAACACUUGGAAACGAUAGCUAAUACCGCAUAAGAGUAGAUGUUGCAUGACAUUUGCCUAAAAGGUGCAAUUUCAUCACUACCAGAUGGACCUUCGUUGUAUUAUCUAGUUGGUGGGGUAACGGCAGACCAACGCGACGAUAGCUAGCCGACCUGAGGGGGGGGUCGGCCAAACUGGGAACGGGAACAGGCCCAAGACUCCUAGGGAGGGAGCAAGAAGGAAACUUCGGGAAUUGGGCGAAGGCUGGACGAGGAAAGGCGGGGGAGGGAAGGAAGGUCUCGGAUCGGAAAAACCCGGUGUAAGGGAAGAACGAGAGGUGGAGGUGAAAGUUCACGCUGUGACGGUACCUUAUCAGAAAGGGACGGCUAACUACGUG